rnacentral:lncRNA from 1 species
AAAGAAGGGACAUCUGGUGGAAUGAACUACGUGGUUAAAUCCUUUUUGAAUCAUCUUUUCUGACAACGGGGUGGAAGAGUAACUAGUUGACCACAGAGCUCUCUCUGUUCACAGUGAGAAACAUGCUUUGCCUUGGAGGGAGUCCAUCAGCUAAUAUUAACACAGAGAAGGCGAAAGUGCAGGUUGACAGGAAAGCCUGGCUCUCCCCUGACUCAAUUCAGGAGAUCAUUAAGGACGAAGUCUUGCUGUAAAGUACACCUCUCUUCCUCCGAUGACAGUGACAACCAGGGCGCUGAAUCAGGGGCAGCCUGCUCUCCUUUGACAAACACCCACCCACUUUGGAAUGCUGGAUUCUAUUAUUCCCAUCAUGGUCUUCCUGGGGCAGUCACAUGCUGCCUACAACAUCUUGCGCUUCUAAAGCUCAUCAUCUCAUUCCAUCCUUAAACGUAUUUCCACAUCAUCACCUCCCAUUAUUGUGCUGGUGAGCACUCCUGGAUUCCUGUGAGCAUCCUGGGGGAAGGAUGCCUCUCCUUCAGUGUACUGAUGUCAGCUCU